rnacentral:antisense_RNA from 1 species
CUUCAACGACCCCAGCCACAGCGGCUUUUCACGAUUCUGCCCGUACGUGGCCAGGACUGCCUGGGCUUC